AAAUUCUCAUCAUUUGAGAAGGCUGGACAGCUCCCUCCUCCUAAUAUGCAAUCUGCACAGCUAGUUGUCACUCAGCAAGCAUUGAGGUUAUCUGUCUGGUGUAUUUCUGGCAUGUCAGCGCACAACUGUAUUUUUCCACCUUUAACAGAGUUUGACGUCUCUACAGUGUGAAUAUUACCAACGUGAAUAUUGCCAGAGGAGAAUGUUUCAACAUGGAAGACUGGAACUUGUGCCUAAUAAGGAAAGGCACAGAUAAGAAGUCUGCAGAUAAUAAUACAGAGGUGUUUAAUUUAAUUGAUCAGUGGCUAUAGUUUAAUAAAUAUAAAAUGUUUGCUUUACCAAUAUAAAAGAAUGAAGUUUCUUGUGUUCAGAGACAAGAACUUUAUUGCUUAG